AAGACCUUGCACUUUUGGAGCGGCCGAUGUCUGAUUAGCUAGUUGGUGGGGUAAUGGCCUACCAAAGCUUCGAUCAGUAGCUGGUCUGAGAGGACGGCCAGCCACACUGGGACUGAGACACGGCCCAGACUCCUACGGGAGGCAGCAGUGGGGAAUUUUGGACAAUGGGCGCAAGCCUGAUCCAGCCAUGCCGCGUGAGUGAAGAAGGCCUUCGGGUUGUAAAGCUCUUUCAGCCGGGAAGAAAAGGUUGCGACUAAUAAUCGCAAUCCAUGACGGUACCGAAAGAAGAAGCACCGGCUAACUACGUGCCAGCAGCCGCGGUAAUACGUAGGGUGCGAGCGUUAAUCGGAAUUACUGGGCGUAAAGGGUGCGCAGGCGGUUUUGUAAGCCAGAUGUGAAAUCCCCGGGCUUAACCUGGGAACU
rnacentral:rRNA from 1 species